rnacentral:lncRNA from 1 species
AUACAACUAAUAGAUCAUUUAACUUCGGGCGAAAUGUAAAAUUUACACUAAUAGGUCUACAUGUGCUCAGGUAUUUAUUAUAAAUCAUUGGCUUUAAAAUGUUCGGAUUUGAGGAUUCAUAUUGAAGGUAAUAUAGAAAGCGUUUCAGACGCACAAUAAGUCUUUUUUUUUUGUAUAUACACUCUAUCAAACUACACCGGUUGAACGGGGCUAAGACAUAUUAUUAUCCUCGACAUUUAAUAUGCGCAGUAAAAAACUUUACUCAAAAAGGGGGAGGUGAGUGUUCGAUUAAACUGGGGCAUUCCCGUUGAAGGCAAUACGCACAGCGUUUUUGAUGUUCAACAUGAAUAAGUCUUAAUUUCAUGUACAUCCUAUCAAACCAAACGACUUGAAAGGGGGCUUAGACAUAAUGUAAUCCCUCGAUAUCUCAUGUGCGCAGUAAAACCCCUUGCAAAAAGAGGGUGUCCGAUAAGAAUGGGGACGUUUAAUUCGAUGUCUUUUGUGGCGAGAGGAUCAAUUUCCCUGUUCGAGUAAUUAGUCCUUCAAAAAACUGACCAAGGAACACUUUUCUGAAACUAAGAGUCCAAAUUUGCGGCCAUCCAGCCCUGUCAACAUUCGUUGCAGUAUAUAUCUUUUGUGUUAAUUUUGAAGUGAUUACCAUUAGACAUUUAACAACCAACAAUCAACAUAUUGGUCUAUUCUUUACUUUGGUACAUUUUAUUUUUCUAAUAUAACUUGAUAAAAGUUUGUACCUAUGAUAAUCAUUAUUAAUUUAGUUCUUUGACAGAGUCGUCCUGGACAUGCAUGAAAUAUUUGCCACUAGACGUCUAGCAACCAACAAUCAAUCAAUUUUGAAACAGAUCGGCUGGUCAUCUUCAGAAGGAGCGAUAUGUAGACACGACUGUUGUCUGCUCUAUAGUCAGGUUGGUGUCUCUUUGACACAUUCCCCAUUUCCAUUCUCAAUUUUAUAACCGAUAAAACGUUUUAGAGAUGAUAUGGACCGACAAGUUGAUUGUUGAUUGUUUAAUGGUAAAUGCACCAAAGUUUUGAAUAAAUCUACUGAUAACACUAUUAUUAAACUGAUACGUGCAUUGUGUAUACUAAACGAUUUUACUUGGCUUCAUAGUAUAUUGUUUGUCCUUAGUUUUGAUAUGAACACAUGACUUUUUAUUAUUGUAGAUCGUUAACAAUUUUAUGAGUGAUUCACAUCAACGAGCUUAUACAUUAAAUUUAAGUGAGAAUUUUCGUGUGAAUUUCACGUGAAAUUUUAAUUGAGAAUUUCAAGUGGACUUUUCAAAAUAAAAAAAAUGUAUUUUUCAUGACUUUUAAUGAAUAUAAAAGAGAUCAUACUUGAAUUACUUCAUUUCAACAGUUCACGUUAAUUUCACGUGCUUUUGACGUGAAAUUCACAUAAACUAAUUAUUCGUGCUAGCGUCGUGUGUGGGAGGUUGUCGGUUUGAUUCCUGUCCUGGUUAAACAAAAAACUUGACGUGGUAUUUUCUGCCUCUCUGCUAUUGACGCAAUUGAUAUAAUAGAUAAGGCUGGUCAGCUUGAGGCUAGGAUAAUAAGUAUUCAUAUGCAGGGUGACAUAUGUUGUCUGUUGCUUUGUAAGAUAUCCCAGAAUGUCGGUUUAUCAUGACUUUAGGUUCAUAUUGUAUAUCGAAUUCUUCAUCAACAUACCCUAGUAAUAAUUACCACUGGACGACUAUUUUUUUUUGUUUAUCGGAGUCAGAUUUUUUAUUAGCACAAUAAGGGUGGGGAACUCUGGAUUUAGAAUAAUUUUUGUUGUCAUCUGCUUUGCCAGAUUUUUUGUUUUCAUCAAAUUUGGGAUCAGAAUAUAUUUCUUUAUGUAACCAUACCCGCCCCCACCCAUUUUUGUCGAGCCUGCAACUUUUGUUGCAGAAAGCUCGACAUAGGGAUAGUGAUCCGGCGGCGCGGCGGGCUACGGCGGCGGCGGCGGUGUUAGCUCACUUCUUAAAAGCUAUAUAUUUUAGAAGAUGGAAGACAUGGAUGCUUCAUAUAUUGUAUAUAGAUGCCUCAUGUUACGAAGUUUCCGUCAGUCACAUGUCCAUUGUCCUUGACCUAUUUUCAUGGUUCAGUGACCACUUGAAAAAAAAGUUUCAAAUUUUUUUGUAAUGUUAAAUUCUCUCUCUUACUGUAAGUAAUAGAUAACUAUAUUUAGUAUGUGCGUACCUUGCAAGGUCCUCAUGCCGUCAGACAGUUUUCACUUGACUCGACCUCAUUUCAUGGAUCAGUGAACAAGGUUAAGUUUUGGUGGUCAAGUCCAUAUCUCAGAUACUAUAAGCAAUAGGUCUAGUAUAUUUGGUGUAUGGAAGGACUGUAAGGUGUACAUGUCCAACUGGCCAGGUGUCAUCUGACCUUGACCUCAUUUCAUGGUUCAGUGGUUAUAGUUAAGUUUUUGUAUUUUGGUCUGUUUUUCUCAUACUUUAUGCAAUAGGUUUACUAUAUUUGUUGUAUGGAAUGAUUGUAAGGUGUACAUGUCUAGCGGGCAGAUGUCAUCUGACCUUGACCUCAUUUUUCAUUUCAGUGGUUAUAGUUAAGUUUUUUGUGUUUUGGUCUGUUUUUCUCAUAUUUUAUGCAAUAGGUUUACUAUAUUUGUUGUAUGGAAUGAUUGUAAGGUGUACAUGUCUAGCGGGCAGAUGUCAUCUGACCUUGACCUCAUUUUCAUGGUUCAGUUGUCAAAGUUAAGUUUUUGAGUUUUGGUCUUUUUAUCUUAUACUAUAUGUCAUAGGUCAACUAUAUUUGGUGUAUGGAAAUAUUUUAUGAUCUAUAUGUCAGUCGUACAGGUUUUAUUUGACCUUGACCUGGUUUUCACGGUUCAUUGCUCUGUGUUAAGUUUUUGUGUUUUGGUCUAUUUUCUUAAACUAUAAGCAAUAGGUCAACUAUAUUUGUUGUAUGGAAGCAUUGUUAGCUGUACCAUGUCUGCCUGGCAUAUGUUCAACUGACCUUGACCUCUUUUCAUGGUUCAUGUUAAGUUUAUGUGACAGUCGUAAUAAAGCUUUAUAUUUAGGAGUAUCAACAUAAUAUCAAUGAUUAGUAAAGAAGGCGAGACAUUUCAGUGUGUGCACUCUUGUUGAAGUUAAAUAGUUGUUCCCUAAUGUCUAGUCAUAUUGUACAACAAAGUAUCCGAGCCACGCGAUUUCCUACUGGUUUCAACUUUUUACAUGUCAUUGACUUGCAACAGAAAUUACUAACGGUUGUCUUUCUUUGUCUUAUAUACUUAUAGACUCAUGAAUAAUGGAAGGAAGUCAAAUUUGAUAGAACAACCUGAGAUACCUUUUAACAAACUUAUUGGAUUAGUGAUAUUUAAAGAACAACCAUGUUUUUGAGGAUAAUCAAACACAGAUCGCAUCACCUCAGCACAUCAGAUGAACAUCACACGGGUAGUGACCGGACAGAAAACAAAAUGACCAUACGCAAGGAGCACGUGCUGACCUACAUGAUCUACUUAGUUAUGAUAUGCAUAUUUAUAUUAUUGUUGCAUGCAUAUAUACGGUAACUUUAUCAAUGUUCAAUCAGGAUUAACACUGCCUCGUAUUGUAAAUAUGUUUAAGCUUUAAUUUAUGAUAUUCGUUUUUGUCAUACUUGUUUGAAUAAA